rnacentral:rRNA from 1 species
UACGAAGGGGGCUAGCGUUGCUCGGAAUCACUGGGCGUAAAGGGCGCGUAGGCGGCGUUUUAAGUCGGGGGUGAAAGCCUGUGGCUCGACCACAGAAUGGCCUUCGAUACUGGGACGCUUGAGUAUGGUAGAGGUUGGUGGAACUGCGAGUGUAGAGGUGAAAUUCGUAGAUAUUCGCAAGAACACCGGUGGCGAAGGCGGCCAACUGGACCAUCACUGACGCUGAGGCGCGAAAGCGUGGGGAGCAAACAGG